AGUGAACGCUGGCGGUAGGCCUAACACAUGCAAGUCGAACGGCAGCACAGUAAGAGCUUGCUCUUACGGGUGGCGAGUGGCGGACGGGUGAGGAAUACAUCGGAAUCUACUUUUUCGUGGGGGAGAACGUAGGGAAACUUACGCUAAUACCGCAUACGACCUACGGGUGAAAGCAGGGGAUCUUCGGACCUUGCGCGAUUGAAUGAGCCGAUGUCGGAUUAGCUAGUUGGCGGGGUAAAGGCCCACCAAGGCGACGAUCCGUAGCUGGUCUGAGAGGAUGAUCAGCCACACUGGAUCUGAGACACGGUCCAGACUCCUACGGGAGGCAGCAGUGGGGAAUAUUGGACGAUGGGCGCAAGCCUGAUCCAGCCAUACCGCGUGGGUGAAGAAGGCCUUCGGGUUGUAAAGCCCUUUUGUUGGGAAAGAAAAGCAGCAGGUUAAUACCCCGCUGUUCUGACGGUACCCAAAGAAUAAGCACCGGCUAACUUCGUG
rnacentral:rRNA from 1 species